CCUGGUGGUUAGAGCGCAACGGACCCACCCGUUCCCAUCCCGAACACGGUAGUGAAACGUUGUAGCGUCUACGAUACUGCACCGGCGACGGCGUGGGAAAAUAGACCACUGCCAGGG
rnacentral:rRNA from 1 species